rnacentral:rRNA from 1 species
UACGGGGGGGGCAAGCGUUGUUCGGAAUUACUGGGCGUAAAGAGCUCGUAGGCGGCUUGGCAAGUCAGGUGUGAAAACUUCAGGCUCAACUUGGAGACGCCACUUGAUACUGCCAUGGCUUGAGUUCGGUAGGGGACCAUGGAAUUCCUGGUGUAGCGGUGAAAUGCGCAGAUAUCAGGAGGAACACCGAUGGCGAAGGCAGUGGUCUGGGCCGAUACUGACGCUGAGGAGCGAAAGCGUGGGGAGCAAACAGG